ACUCAUGUCAGAGGGGAGUAACUUGAUAGUCACUGAAUUAAUUUAAGUGAUUUUACACUUUAUCGUCAUUACGAAGUAUUCACUUCCGGUAAAGUGGGCAAUAGUAUUUGCU
rnacentral:sRNA from 2 species